CACGUAGGCGGCUUCCUAAGUCGGAUGUGAAAGCCCUGGGCUUAACCUGGGAAUUGCAUCCGAUACUGGGUCGCUAGAGUAAGGGAGAGGGAAGCGGAAUUUCCGGUGUAGCGGUGAAAUGCGUAGAUAUCGGAAGGAACACCAGUGGCGAAGGCGGCUUCCUGGCCCAUUACUGACGCUGAGGUGCGAAAGCGUGGGGAGCAAACA
rnacentral:rRNA from 1 species